ACCAAGUCUACGAUCUAUAGCUGGUUUUAGAGGAUGAUCAGCAACACUGGGACUGAGACACGGCCCAGACUCCUACGGGAGGCAGCAGUGGGGAAUCUUAGACAAUGGGCGCAAGCCUGAUCUAGCCAUGCCGCGUGUGUGAUGAAGGUCUUAGGAUCGUAAAGCACUUUCGCCAGGGAUGAUAAUGACAGUACCUGGUA
rnacentral:rRNA from 1 species